rnacentral:rRNA from 1 species
CUGCAGCCCGAGUGGUGAUCGAUUUUAUUGAACCUAAAGCGUCCGUAGCCGGACUAGUAAACCCUUGGGUAAAUUGGGCAGCUUAACUGUCCAAAUUCUGAGGGGACUGCUAGUCUUGGGACCGGGAGAGGUCAGAGGUACUCAAGGGGUAGGGGCUAAAUCCUGUACUCCUUUGGGGACCACCAGUGGCGAAGGCGUCUGACUAGAACGGAUCCGACGGUAAGGGACGAAACCCUGGGGCGCGAACCGGAUUAGAUACCCGAGUAGUC